rnacentral:rRNA from 1 species
AGAGUUUGAUCAUGGCUCAGAUUGAACGCUGGCGGCAGGCCUAACACAUGCAAGUCGAGCGGUAACAGAAAGUAGCUUGCUACUUUGCUGACGAGCGGCGGACGGGUGAGUAAUGCUUGGGAACAUGCCUUGAGGUGGGGGACAACAGUUGGAAACGACUGCUAAUACCGCAUAAUGUCUACGGACCAAAGGGGGCUUCGGCUCUCGCCUUUAGAUUGGCCCAAGUGGGAUUAGCUAGUUGGUGAGGUAAUGGCUCACCAAGGCGACGAUCCCUAGCUGGUUUGAGAGGAUGAUCAGCCACACUGGGACUGAGACACGGCCCAGACUCCUACGGGAGGCAGCAGUGGGGAAUAUUGCACAAUGGGCGCAAGCCUGAUGCAGCCAUGCCGCGUGUGUGAAGAAGGCCUUCGGGUUGUAAAGCACUUUCAGUCAGGAGGAAAGCGUGGUGGUUAAUACCCAUCAUGUGUGACGUUACUGACAGAAGAAGCACCGGCUAACUCCGUGCCAGCAGCCGCGGUAAUACGGAGGGUGCGAGCGUUAAUCGGAAUUACUGGGCGUAAAGCGUACGCAGGCGGUUUGUUAAGCGAGAUGUGAAAGCCCCGGGCUCAACCUGGGAACUGCAUUUCGAACUGGCAAACUAGAGUGUGAUAGAGGGUGGUAGAAUUUCAGGUGUAGCGGUGAAAUGCGUAGAGAUCUGAAGGAAUACCGAUGGCGAAGGCAGCCACCUGGGUCAACACUGACGCUCAUGUACGAAAGCGUGGGGAGCAAACGGGAUUAGAUACCCCGGUAGUCCACGCCGUAAACGAUGUCUACUAGAAGCUCGGAGCCUCGGUUCUGUUUUUCAAAGCUAACGCAUUAAGUAGACCGCCUGGGGAGUACGGCCGCAAGGUUAAACUCAAA